UCAUUCACAGCUUCUCCUUCACGCUUUCUCAUUUGACAACCCUAAUUCUAGAACCUGCCGCUGCAAUUCUUCUUGCCUUUAACCUCACGCUGUAACGGUGGAACAUUAAGAACCUGCAAAAGCUUCAUAUCUUUGGAUCCCAAAACCAUCGAUUUGUCUCAACCAAGUUUUUUUCAUGUUUGCUAGAUGUUUUUCAAAUCACAGGUUUUUUAUUGCUGGUGUUGUUUGUUGAUUUCAAUGCAUAAGAAGAAUGAAGAUGUGUUGUGGUGAUUGGCUGUUGAGCUGGAAGAGGACAUCUGGCGCUUGGCUAUUUCUCCGGCAACUUCAACUAAAGACGAAUAGUUUAGCGCUGACGACUCUGACAUCACAUAUAUUGCGGAAAUACUUCGAGCAUCAAAAUAUUUACUUUCUCGAAAACCAACAAAAUGUUCAAAAGUCAUUAGAAAAAGAUACAUGAAGAUGUUCAAAGCUCCGAAGGAAGCUUGUGAUUGACGCCAUUUAUGAAAUCAUCGACAGAAACAGAGAACGACCGCUGUGGAAGUUAACGGAAUCAAGCGAUUCCGUGAAGGAGAACUGUUGUGAAUUUCAAAAGAUUCGCAAAACGGAAACUACUAUAAAUUUCUUCGGAGUCUGAUGUAAAUGACAUCGUUGUGAACGGAUGAUACGUGACAACUAAAGAUGAUGUUUUUGUGCAGCUGAUUCUUGACAGUCUCACAGGGCCUCCAAUCUUAUGUGAGAAACAGGUUGUUCCUAUUUAGUGAUCAAAUACCUUUGUUCAACAAAAUUAAUCACAAGGUGGACGUUCUCAGUUGAAGAUUUUUGAAUAGCUACAUUUUUUUGGAGGUUGAAAGGGUGUCAAUAAUUAACUAUAAUUUGUAUCACCACAAAGUCGGCCCCUCACUACCCUUUUCAAGGCAUUUUGAAAUAAAUUUCGACAUUUGGGUUUGCUUGCCUUUUGUUUCUCAUGUAAGUCAAGUAAUCGUUCAAAUCUGUCCAUUUUUUUUAUUAGAAAUCCUUAGAAGUCUAUCUGCCACACACUGAACAUGGAAUUAGUGAAGGAUUUUAAUUGCUAAGUGAGUGUCGAGUGUUAUUUUUCGGCGAGUGAGGUUUUGGCGAAGCAUGAUGAGAAGUAUAUGCCGGCGGAAGCGGCGAAUGCGAUUGAGAAGAAUAAGAAGAAGCUUGCGGAAGAAGCGGGUGGGCGGAUUGAUGGACGGGAGGAUGCUGCUGUUGUUCCGACCGCGUAAAUUUUUAACGUGUUUUCGGGUAUGUGUUACUAACCGACUGCCCGCUUCUAUUUUUGAAAGGAAGUUUUUAUAUAUAUGAAUGGGAUUAUACUAUGAUUGAAGUUGACUAAUUAUAAGGACGAUAAAUUGUUAGUCGGGAAUGAAGAGAGGGUGCGCGAUUACACCGAGGCUUUUUGGAUUGAUUGUUGUUGUAGGUUUCAUGGUUUUUACUGUUCUGAUUCUAUUGGGCAUAUUGUUCAGAUUGUAUUUUGUAUGGGUAUAUGUCUUCGAUUGGAUUUUGAUGAUUUGAUCAAGCUGUUGAAUAAGAAACAUUCUUGAAAAUGUCUGAUUACUAUCCUGUGUUUGUCUUUUAAAGUCUGAUGAUAAGUUGCAUUUUAAAUGGAAAAGUAAACUUUUUUUACAAAUGUUUUGAUUGUUUUGCUUUAUUUGUUAUAUAAGCUUAUGAGUAGUUGAAACUAUGAAACACUUGCAUUUGGAGAACUUAGCUGGAUGAUGAUUGAUGAUCCAUAGCUCUAUGAUAUAUUGUUGGUAUUAGAAAAUUAGCUUUUUGUAAUGGAUUGGUAUGUGUUCAUGAAUCUACGAUCUGCUACAAAUUUGUAGGGUUGACUGAUGGUUUUAGGAUUCGAGUUUUGGGAAUGUAGAUGUCAUUUUGCAGGCACCCUGCUAUUUUAUCCUGGUACUCUGUGAGGUACUGUGUGCAUCUAUAUAAGGUUUACAUUUUACAAUUUUGGAUUGAGGUGCAUUAUGGUUGCAUCAGACCUCUGGGCGCUUUAAAUUUUAUCUGCAGUAGAAGUUUAGGUAUAAUAUUAAGAGUAAGUUACUGUUACACCAAUCAUUCAGGUGGUAUGUCAAAAUUUUAGCAUUCAUAUUAAUGUCGAGAGCUAAAAUUUUGACAUACCACAUGGACGACUGACACAGUUUACUCCAAUAUUUAAGAUUGGUGGACCUGAGCAUAUUGUGGAAGGUGUUUUGUGAGUUUGUACGCAUAUGUAAACCCUUAUAUGAAAACAAGUUUUUUUGGAAGUCAUAAGCUUAUACCUAUUUGAAAUGCUUAAUAGACUUGCUACCAAAUAUAUAAAGCCAACAUCGUGAACUUUACUAUUUGCCUGCUAUGGAAGUCUUCCACAAUUCAUCCUCUAUAUUUGGUUAGACAUCAAUAAUAUUAACUUUUAAUUGCUUUUAUUACCAAAGUGAGCCAGUUGGGUAAUGGGUCGAAAUGAGUUGGGGUCAAAACAGGUAGUUCUAAAUGAUGAAAUUUCAGUUACCGACUUAACGGGCAUAUUUUUGCAAGCCAAGCUAGAGACCGUGAAAAAGGUUGGCUCUAAAUGAUGAAAUUUCAGUUACCGACUUACCGGGCAAUCAAAGUUUGUUUCACUAGAAGCUGAUUCACUCGACACACCAACUCCAAAUUAAUAAAUGAAUAAACUUUAUGUUAUAGUUUCACUAUUAUCUGGUUUGUGUAUCUGUUUUUUUGUGAAUCUUAUUCGCAGGAUGAGAUUGUGAGUGCUUCAGGAUGAGUUUGGUAUCGCUGUGGAAUAUGAGAGUGCCCAGAGCAUAUAAAAUCGAUCAAGAUGCAGCCAAUCUUUUUGAGACAAUCUUAUAAAAUUAUGAUUAUAACCAUGUUGCCGAAUAUGAGGAUACAAAAAAGUAAGAUCUAAGUUCUAUUGGCAAAUAUUCUUGCUGUAACAUAAUAUUGUCAAGGUUGUUCUUUUUACCUCCAUUUUUUCUUAUUUUUUUGGUUAAAUUAUGAAGUCAAUGCAAAUGCAAAUGUGGUUGUAAGAAUUAUCGACUUAUUAACUCUUUUUAUUCUACUA